CUGACUCACACAGAGGCAGCUUCCAGCCUUCCACAGUUCUUCCAAUUCGACACAGUUAUUUAUUUAUUUUUUUAAGGUCCAAACUCCUGUGCAGAGCAAGCAUCCAAAUGCUGUCAUCCUCUCAGCCCCAUGCUCUAGCUCAUUUUUCACACCACUGGAUUUAAUUUACUAUUAUCGUGCCUGGAAUGUGUUUGCAUCUGUAUUCUUGAGAGAUUGCUAUACAGCUCAUUUGAGGCCUCACAAGAUUAAAACUUGGUAAGAAAGUAGACACGGAAGUGUGUCUCUGUCCAGUUCCACCUAAACUGUGCUGGCAGAAACUUUGGCUCCUGCUGCUUAGCUCCUUCAGCGACCUGCGAGUCUGUCUCACGAAAAGAUACCGACCGCCAUCUUGAAUUUCUAAGCACUAAACACGAAGAGAUAUGCUUCAGACCCUCUGAGCCCCUUUGUCUGCGUGGAACGGGUCUCUAGUCGCGGGUGGACAAAGCGUAGGAUGAGUGACAAACAGACGCACACAGGAGAGGUCGAGGAAUCUGAAUGUCAUUUUUCAAAUCGAGCAUCAGACUUUUUAUGCAGAAGACAAUAAGGAAGUUGGAUGACAUACCUGCAAGGUACAAAUGAGCUUUCCCAGAUAUCUCUGAAGAUACCAUUUUGAAUAGGACUCACAUCACUCACUGCCUUGGUAGGGUCAUCUUUGUUCCACAAGAGGAAAACUGUCCACGAGAGUUCUAGGAUGGAUUUACCAGCUCUUCUUCUCUCCUGAAGACUGUUGUCCUGCCUAUGCCCAGACCCAUCUACAUCAGAUCUGAGGAGUGAGUCUUCUAAACUAUGAAGGACAUAUUAUAAUAUUCAAUAAACAAUCUGUGGCCUCCAUAUGCACAGAAUGUGAUGCUGGGCAAACAGAGAGCUCUGAGCAAAAGUUCUAAGAAAGAAAGUCUUCUAAUGGAAGCAUCUGCAAGCCUGAUGAACUAAUUUGAACCUCAGUGACCAUGAAGAGUUUGGAAUGUUACAGGUCCAGGGUCUAUUUACAAUUCAUCUUGGGUUAUCUUUAGCUCUCUAAGUAGCCAUUCUUUCCUUAUAUUUGUGUGAACCUAACAUUCUGUGCCUAACAGAUUAAGAAGUCUUUUGGAAUGUAGUAAAUCUGUGGCUUCCACUAAUUGAAAGACUGAGUGUCAUCAGGUAGUACCUGAGCCCUACAGUCAAUACUUCUCUGCAUGUUUUCACUAAUGUACCUGAAAACUGCUUUGAUCUUUUUAGUUUCUUUGUUCUGUUACUAUAAACUAAUUCCACAUUGGAACAUGGAAUUUGACACUACACCCGUGUUCCCAGGCUAUGGUCGCUCUUAUUUGGCUCUGGAAUAAAUUGAAAUGAGAUGUGUGCUUCUGCCUCAACAUUAAAUUUUCUGGUGAUAACCAUUACCCAAAGUGGUUCACAGAAGGUUUUAUCUUGGCUGGGCAAAUCACAGUGGUGGGGGAGACAUGUCAAGGGAGACUGGAGAAGGAAGCUGAGAGAUCCCAUCUUCAACCACAUGUAGAAAGCAGAGUGUAAGGCCUGGAAGUGGGGCCAGGCUAUAAACCCCCAAAGCCCAUCCACAGUUCUGCAAGGAAAGCUUCCAUCCAUGACCUUGCCAGACAAUGCUGGUCGCUGGGGACUGAUGGUGAAGUCCAUGAGUCAGUGAGGGAACAUUUCUUGUUCAAACCAUCACACCAUAUAAAUUUGAGAGACAG
rnacentral:lncRNA from 1 species